ACCUGGCUGGCUCAGUUGGCAGAGCAUGUGACUUUUGAACUCAAGGUCAUGAGUUCAAGCCCCACACUGGGUG
rnacentral:tRNA from 1 species